rnacentral:rRNA from 1 species
GAUGAACGCUAGCGGCAGGCCUAAUACGUGCAAGUCAAGGGGCCAGCAAUGGCACCGGCGCACGGGUGCGUAACACGUACACAACAUACCUUUAAGUGGGAGAUAGCAUCGGGAAACUGGUGGUAAUACCCCAUAAUAUUGCGAUGCGGCAUCACAUUGCAAUUAAAGUUUCGACGCUUAAAGAUUGGUGUGCGUCCGAUUAGCUAGUUGGUGAGGUAACGGCUCACCAAGACUACGAUCAGUAGGGGUACUGAGAGGUUAAACCCCCACACUGGUACUGAGACACGGACCAGACUCCUACGGGAGGCAGCAGUAAGGAAUAUUGGACAAUGGCCGCAAGGCUGAUCCAGCCAUGCCGCGUGCAGGAAGACGGACCUAUGGUUUGUAAACUGCUUUUG